GGUAGUUGCUAUAGUGACCGGACGGCCCGCCUGGCCACUUACAGAUAGUUUGCUGACUCCAACGGACCUAUGACAGCAGCAGCAACUUGGAAUGAUGUCAAGCUCUAUACAGGUGAAAUGAGAUCAGCUUGGGAAACAGACGUAGAAUUUUGACCUGGGGAAUAUUGGGAAGACAUACGGAGCUCCUUGGAGACAUGGUUGAGACCCUCACUGUCUCUCAUCCGAAGGGCUCUAGGAGGCUCUGACCCUGUCCCUGCCUCUCACCUUAACACACAGACUGUAUACCCUCUGUCUAACCCACUUCUCCCUGCCACCCUCCACCACUGCGGCAUUCAUCUUUCCAAAGGGAAAAUGGGAUCACCACUUCCUGCUGGAAGCAUGCCAGAGGCUUCAGGGAGCCCUAGAUUGCCUGGAGGAACAUGCAAGCAAAGAGUCUAGUGCAGGAGAACGAACACCCACCACGCUUCUGGUCACCAGGAAUCCAGGCUUCUGGUCAACCCCUCACCUCUAGAAAUGGAUGUCUAUUUUCAAAAUAUUGCACUGGCAGCUUCAGCAGAAGCAAUCUAUCGCCCGCAAAGGAGGAGCUGAGCCAACAUAUGCGUGCAGAUAUCAAUACAAGUCUGGAGCUACACAUAAGCAGAGGGAGUGCUGACAGGGAGCUGGGCAGCCUGCCACUGAGGAGCUCUUUUAUAAAAGGCAGUGUUUCGCUUCCCUUACAAAAGACUAAAGGGUUGUGCCUGAUAUUCAUAGAAGCUGGGGCAAAAGAAAUCUCUGGUCUAUUCUGAGAGUAACUUGCCAUUGAUAUGGAUCCAACUAGAGAAAUAACAAUUCUCUAGUUUUCAGAAUUGAUCAAUGUACUGUGUUCUCACCCUAACAUAGGGAAUGCAGUGUUUUUCCAUCCAGUGUAGAGACCAAUAAACAGAAGGCCUAAGCCACUUAUUCAAGGGCACACAGCCUUUAAAGGGCAGAGCUGAGAUUAGAGAUCAUUACUUCAGAAGAAUUGCCAGGUUCAUACUCUUUCUGUCGCCUGGACUGGUUCCAGCCUUGACAAUGGGGUGUGAAAUCUAAAAUCCAAGAGGGCAGGGAGGGAUUCUCCAAGAUCAGUACAUUUCUAAUUAAGGAAGGCAAAACAAGACACACAACACUCCUUAAAGGCAUGAAGACUAAAAAUCUCCCACUGUGCAAAACUAUGAUUAUCGGAUUAAGAAUACCAAAGGGCUCUUGACAGUUUGCUAAGUGUUUUCACACUUAAGAUCUCAUUAAGCCUCGGAAGUUGAUGGCAUGGUUCCUUGUUUUAGGACAAGGAAACCGAGGCCCAGGUUGGUAAAUGACAAAUUUAACAGGUCACUGUCAGGAUGUGGUCAAGUGGAAUU